rnacentral:lncRNA from 1 species
ACUAAUAAAUAUAAUAUUUUUAUAUAUUUAUUAUUGUAUUAUACUAUAAAUAUAAUAUUAUAUUACAUUAUAUCGUAAUACAUUGAUAUGUUAUGUUAAAUAAUUUAAUAUUAUAUUAAAUUAUUAUUCUAUAAUACAUAAUGUUAUAGCACUAUAUUAUAAUAAUAUUAUAUUACAUUACAUUAAUAUUAUACUAUAUCGUAUAUUUAUGUAUUAAUAUAUAUUAUAUUUUAUUAUGAUCUGUUAUAUAAUAAUAGUAAUGUCCUUUAUGGUUAUUUUGUCACACAAAAGUACUUUCUCAAUUUGUUUACCAAACAUAUGUUAAAGUGCCACAACACUUUAGAAAUGUAGUUACGAAACAGUAAACAGUUUUUUAUAAACGCUCUACUUCAGACAGCUCUACUUCCAACAGCUCUACUUCCAAAAGCUCUACUACUAACA